AGGAUAAACGCUGGCGGCGUGCCUAACACAUGCAAGUCGAACGCUCUCUGGUAACAGAGGGAGUGGCGGACGGGUGAGUAACACGUGGGUACCUACCCCAAGGUGAGGAAUACCGGCGAGAAAUCGCCGACAAUACCGCAUACGUUUCGCAAGAAACAAAGCUUCGUAAGAGGCGCCAUGGGAAGGGCCUGCGGCCGAUUAGCUAGUUGGUGAGGUAAAAGCUUACCAAGGCGACGAUCGGUAGCUGGUCUGAGAGGACGAUCAGCCACACUGGGAUUGAGAACGGCCCAGACUCCUACGGGGGGCAGCAGUGAGGAAUUUCGUCAAUGGGGGCAACCCUGAACGAGCAACGCCGCGUGCAGGAAGAAGGUUUUCGGAUCGUAAACUGCUUUUCUCUGGGACGAGAACGGACGGUACCAGAGGAAGAAGCCCCGGCUAACUACGUGCCAGCAGCCGC
rnacentral:rRNA from 1 species